rnacentral:rRNA from 1 species
UACGGGGGGGGCAAGCGUUGUUCGGAAUUACUGGGCGUAAAGCGUGCGUAGACGGUUAUGUAAGUCAGAUGUGAAAGCCCCGGGCUCAACCUGGGAAUUGCAUUUGAGACUGCAUAGCUAGGGUGCGGAAGAGGGAAGCGGAAUUUCCGGUGUAGCGGUGAAAUGCGUAGAUAUCGGAAGGAACACCAGUGGCGAAAGCGGCUUCCUGGUCCAGCACCGACGUUCAGGCACGAAAGCGUGGGGAGCAAACAGG